CUGUUUCCUGCUUAUCUCCCAAAUGCAGUAUGCUUAUCUCUUGAAAAUAGUGCCUUUCUUUGGAGCAGAAAAAAUAUCUAUGAACAAAUAUAUAUAUGGGAUUUUGACCUUCUGUUUGGCAGAGUUUCAGAGAUGUCAUUUUCUAUAGCUGCCCCAAUUUUAACUCUAUUAUCACUUCCAGUUGAUAUUGUUGACUUUUCUAAGUCAUAUAGUCACGUGAAUUCUGAAAAUAGGCUUUCUAAAAAAAGAUCUUUGUUGUCUUUGCGCUCUGGGUUUUGAGAUUUUUAGUGGUGAACCAAC
rnacentral:lncRNA from 1 species